GAUGAACGCUGGCGGCGUGCUUAACACAUGCAAGUCGAACGGUGAAGGCGGAGCUUUCUCUGCUGGAUCAGUGGCGAACGGGUGAGUAACACGUGAGCAAUCUGCCCCUGACUCUGGGAUAAGCGCUGGAAACGGCGUCUAAUACUGGAUACGAGCUGCGAAGGCAUCUUCAGCAGCUGGAAAGAACUUCGGUCAGGGAUGAGCUCGCGGCCUAUCAGCUUGUUGGUGAGGUAACGGCUCACCAAGGCGUCGACGGGUAGCCGGCCUGAGAGGGUGACCGGCCACACUGGGACUGAGACACGGCCCAGACUCCUACGGGAGGCAGCAGUGGGGAAUAUUGCACAAUGGGCGAAAGCCUGAUGCAGCAACGCCGCGUGAGGGACGACGGCCUUCGGGUUGUAAACCUCUUUUAGCAGGGAAGAAGCGAAAGUGACGGUACCUGCAGAAAAAGCGCCGGCUAACUACGUG
rnacentral:rRNA from 1 species